rnacentral:lncRNA from 1 species
AUGCUGCUGGAGAUUCUUGAGGCUGGCCAAGAUGGCCGGGGACAGGGGCUCCUCCAAGUCCUCGCCUUCGCCGUCGUCGUCGUCGUCCUCCUCCUCCUCCUCGUCCUCCUCCGGUCCGUCCGGAGGCUGCGGGGAGCUCCGGGAGAUGUACCCCUGGUCCGACUGCACGGACUGUCUCUGCUCCCCUCCGGCCGGGGUCCGCGUCUCCCCCUCGCCCGGGCCCAAGAGCGACCGCACCCACUCCUCGAGCCGGCCCGGCGGGAGGGGGCUCGGCGGCCCGACGGCCGGGGCGGCGGCGACGGGGUCCAACAGGGGCCGCCCCUCCUCCUCCACCGGCACCAGCCGCCCCGCCGUGGCGGCCGCCCGGGGGACGGGGGUGACCGCGAGGGAGGGCGGCCGCCGCUCGUCGGCCGCCACCGGCGUCUGGAGAGCCGAGGGGGCCGGGCCGGGCCCGGCGGGCGGCCGAGGGGCCACCCUGAAGGCGCCCCCGUCGGUCCGGGCGGGGAGGGGGUCCACCCGGAAGCCCUCCGCCAGGCCCGGCUCCCGGAGGAGCGGCUCCUGUCGGACGACGGCCGUCGCCGUGGCCUCCUCCCCUCCCGGCGGUAUCCUCUCUUCCUCCUCCUCCUCCUCCUCGUCGGAGGCUCCGCCGUUCUCCCGCUCGAACCAGUCGGGGUGCGCGGCCUGCCACUCCCGGAAGCGUCGCACGGCCUCCUCGAGCCCGCGCCCGGCGGGGCCGCCCAGGUAGCCGUCGGCGGAGAGCUCCCGCACCCGGUGCCCGCGGCCCGGCUGGAACAUCUCCAGGUCCUGGAUGCGGAAGUAGACCUCCUCGAAGGCGCCCAUCAGCGGGUAGCGGGAGGUGAUGAGGAACGGCUCGGGCACGUCCUCCUCGGCGCAGAUGUCGGAGAAGUAGCAGACCACGUAGCCUCCGAAGCGGGCCGGCCUCUUGAAGUCGGGCAGGAUGACGUUGAGGGCCGGGGUGAACAGGUCCCCGGCCGGCCGGCGCCGGUCCCCCCGCAGCCCGCCGGCGGCCGGCCCGCCGCGGCCCAGCAUGGCCUGCCACUUGGCCCGCGUGCCCCGGGAGCACAGCACGACGAUCUUGGAGGCGCCGGCGUCGGCCGCCCGCUUCUGCCGCGUGAUCCAGGCCAGGGCCCCCACCUCCGAGAUCUCCCGCUCCUCCAGGAGGUCCAGGGCCACCUCCGUGCCGCACGCCGUCAGCAGGAACUGGGCGAACUUCACCACCACGUCCACGUAGAGCGGGUGGUCGGCCGAGUACACGACCCAGACCUUCCGGGGCUUCAGGGGGGGCGGCGACGCCGGGGCCGGGGGCGGGAUCCCUGCGAGGGAACGGCCCCGGGGCGUGAGCCCCCGGCCCCGCCGACCCCGGCGGCCGGAGGCAGGACCCCCCGCCGACCCCCGGGGCCGGGGACCGACCGGCCCGGGGAAGGGGUUCUCUGGGACGGAAGGGUUUCGGUCCGGGCCUAUUUCAUGGUGUGA